rnacentral:rRNA from 1 species
CAGCAGCCGCGGGAAUACAGAGGGUGCGAGCGUUAAUCGGAUUUACUGGGCGUAAAGCGUGCGUAGGCGGCUUUUUAAGUCGGAUGUGAAAUCCCUGAGCUUAACUUAGGAAUUGCAUUCGAUACUGGGAAGCUAGAGUAUGGGAGAGGAUGGUAGAAUUCCAGGUGUAGCGGUGAAAUGCGUAGAGAUCUGGAGGAAUACCGAUGGCGAAGGCAGCCAUCUGGCCUAAUACUGACGCUGAGGUACGAAAGCAUGGGGAGCAAACAGGAUUAGAUACCCGUGUAGUCCCUGUCUCUUAAAC